GUCAUUUGAUCCAAUAGCGUUCUAAUUUGAUUGGAAGGUUUGGCACCUUGAAGUCAGCUCUUCGCCACCUAGGGCCGUAGUAUGUUCUAAGGGUUGGGCUGUUCGACCAUUAAAGCGGUACAUGAGCUAGGUUCAGAACGUUAUGAGAUAGCUC
rfam:Ricinus communis cultivar Hale ctg_1100012352862, whole genome shotgun sequence.